CCUCAGAUAAUGUCUCCAAUGCCCACAGUAGGAAGGACUCACCCACCCAGAAGGAGAAUCCAGGCAGAAUCCGGCACCAGAGUCCUCAGAUAAUGUCUCCAAUGCCCACAGUAGGAAGGACUCACCCACCCAGAAGGAGAAUCCAGGCAGAAUCCGGCACCAGACUCCUCAGAUAAUGUCUCCAAUGCCCACAGUAGGAAGGACUCACCCACCCAGAAGGAGAAUCCAGGCAGAAUCCGGCACCAGACUCCUCAGAUAAUGUCUCCAAUGCCCACAGUAGGAAGGACUCACCCACCCAGAAGGAGAAUCCAGCUGGAGUGGGAGGAGAAAGGCAUAGCCUAGGAGUCAGCGGUGGAAGAGAAAGCUUAUUGGCUCAGAUUGAGGAAGACAUCUAAGUCAAUGGAGAAAACACCACUAACGGCUGAGGUCUGGAGGUCAGAAGGCCAAAAAAUGGGUCUCGCUGAGCUACAAUCAAGGUGUCAUCAGGCUGUGUCCUUUCCUGGAGGUUCUAGAAGAGAAUCGUAUCCUUGCUCUUUUCCCACUUCCAGAGGCUGCCACAUUCCUUGACUUGUGGCUCCUCCGUCUGUCUUCAAAGCCAGAGACAGAUGGUGAAUGGAGUCCUUUCACAUGGCUCACUCUGCCCUUGCUCCUGUCGUCACAUUCCCUUCUUUGUCUAACUUUUCUGCCUCCUUUCUCCACUCUUGUCAUUACCUUGGGCCCAUCUGAAAAUCCAGAAUCAUCCCCCAAAUUAAAGUCAGUGGACUAGCAACUUUAAUUCCACCUGCAACCUUAUUUCCCUUCCACCAUGAGCCUAACCUCACCACGAGUGUCAGGGAUUUGCACAUGGACAUCUUCGGGAACCCCUUCAUGAGUGGUUGGGGGGAUGUGGCCAGAAAGACGGCAGCAGCAGGAUGCGCGGGAACUCUGCAGCUGCGCUGAGGCAUCUGAGAGCCAAGG
rnacentral:lncRNA from 1 species